GACGGAAGGUGCAAGCGUUGCUCGGAAUUACUGGGCGUAAAGGGCUCGUAGGUGGCCAACUAAGUCAGACGUGAAAUCCCUCGGCUUAACCGGGGAACUGCGUCUGAUACUGGAUGGCUUGAGUUCGGGAGAGGGAUGCGGAAUUCCAGGUGUAGCGGUGAAAUGCGUAGAUAUCUGGAGGAACACCGGUGGCGAAGGCGGCAUCCUGGACCGACACUGACACUGAGGAGCGAAAGCCAGGGGAGCAAACGGG
rnacentral:rRNA from 1 species